rnacentral:lncRNA from 13 species
ACAUUUUCUUAGGAAAAGCAGAAGGUUGUGAUGGAAGAAACUAAGGAUCUUGGAAUUGGAUAGACCUAUUCCCAUCUUCUCUAACUUCAAAGUACUGCAAACAGGUUUUCGCCAUGUGGUCCAGGCUGGUCUCAAACUCCUGAGCUCAAGGAAUCCGCCCACCUCAGCCUCCCAGAGUGCUGGGAUUACAGACAUGAGCCACCACACCCUGCCUCAGGAUACAAUUUUUAAACUACAGAAAGUCAAGGUAAAGAAUUGUGAUGGACAUGGUGUAUUUUAUGUAACAAAGAAGAAGAAGAAAACACAAAUAUGUGUCUGCCAAUGCUUUAAAAAAGAAAUUAAGGUCCAAUCAUAAACUAAUGAAAAAUUGUUCUCCACAUGGAGAGGAAGGGAACAGCAUGAUAGCAGAGAGAAUCU